rfam:Phialocephala scopiformis strain CBS 120377 unplaced genomic scaffold LY89scaffold_1, whole genome shotgun sequence.
GGUGACUUGGCCGAGUGGUUAUGGCGCUAGUUUCAGGAUCACUUGAGACCUUCAAUACUAGUUCGAAAGAGCGUGUAAGUUUACAGUAUCUAGGAUUUGACACUAAACUAAUGAAAUAUAGGGGUUCGAGUCCCACAGUCAUCA